rnacentral:lncRNA from 1 species
AGUCGUACACAUGUGUGUGUGUGUGUGUGUGUAGUAACUUGCAAAAUGACAAAGACAAUUGCAAAUGAUGCGGAAAUUAUUAAUGCUAACGUUAUUUGAUUUGUUACCUUUCUUGGAGACGUUGGGGAUAUGUUUUGUAGGUCAAAGGAGUCCACUUGCAGUUGACGAUGAGAAUCCAGAUGAAAGUAAAACAAGACUCACAUAGAAAAGCAAGAAACCAAGCAAAUCCAUGAUUCUUCAACGUUGAGAGCCGAUAGAAGAGCAGACAUAGAAGAAGGAACAAGAUGAUAACAUCUAAAGCCCUAUGAUAUGUGUUUUUAUGAAAAACUUUUUCGUAUAGAGGGAGACAUGACGACUUUGUAUUGGCCAUGAGCUUGAAAAACAAGUACUCGUUUUUUUUAUUUUUGGUGUUUCGGCAUUAAUAGAUGUGGGUUUUUAAAGGUAUUUAGUAGGUUUUAUAGUUGCAAGAAUGACCAUUUGUUGCAUAUGUGGUGAUGAAGCGCAUAUCCUUAGCCGAAAAGAAUCAAAGGAUGGUAUAAGAGCUUGUGAGAAUAUGGUAAAUUUGUGGUGUGUGUGUGUGUGUGUAUUUCAGAAUAAAUUUUUAGGACCUCUCAUUCAUUGAAAACACUAAUUAGUUUCCCUUUAAGUUUUAAAAGACAGUAAAAUUCUAAAUUCUUCGUCGACGUACAAAUUGACUGGCCAUCCGACAUCUACCAUAAACUGCUGCACUAUAAUCAAUUUGCACUCUUAUAUAUGUGGUGACAAUGUUUACAAUUACACGUGAUUUAUUUUGAAGAAUUCAUAUAUAAAAAAUAAUAUUCUUUCACAUGUCUAAUGUAUUCACAUUUUUUUUUAAAUAAAUAACUUCUCACUCUCAAAUGCUAUAUUAAUAUAUUCAAGUAAUUAUAGUACAAAUUUUUUUAUGCAGACAGCCUAUGUAUAAAUACUAUGAUUGCAGGCAAUAGAUUUGUAUCGCACCUGUAAAUCAUAAUUUGUCAGAGCUUGUUACCUUAUAUUAUUAUGUAAGUUACAUAACUUUUUCACAACCAUUUGAUGAAAAUUAAACGGCGGUUGUGGAAAUAUAAGAUAAUAAAAUCAUGUUAUUUCCCCAACUGUUAGAUUUUCAUCAAACGGUUGUGGAAGAAUUAUGUACCUUACAUAAUAAUGUAAGGUAACUAUAGCCUAAUUUGCCAUUCAUUCAAUAAAGUCCUAUUUGAUAUUAUAGUUUAGACAGUUGUAGAGUACACUAAUGGAGUAUGUGAUUCAUUUAAACCAACAAUUAAUUAAUUAAUCUAGACAAUGAAAUCAAGAGGGCGAGUAAGAGUUGAGUUGGUGGAGUGUUUCGAGAUGAGCAAUCAAAGCAAAUUCAAUAAUGAAACUUAAAAAUUUCUGAGAAUUUUUUAUUUCAUUUUCAGGCUAACGUACAUUCUAGAGAAACUGUGGAUACCACAAAUUUGAAGAUAAAGUGCGAAGUGCUGUAGGGCCAAGUUUCAGCUGAACAAGAACGUAAGACAGAUUACAGACUAAUCAUAAUCUUUACCCUCACUUUUUGCAGAAAGAGUGACGCAUGGGAUGAUGCCUGAGUUUCUGGACGAUUUGAUACAAACAACAUCAAAUCUCGAGAAAAUUUAGAUUUUUGCCUUUCCCUGCAGUGCUGCAAUGAUAUGAUACGUAGCUGUGUCGCUUGUGCACAAGUGCCACCGUUCACAAGAACGAGAUCAUCUCAAAAUUUUAAAUCUUUUGAUAUGAUUUGAUCAAAGCUAACCCCACCACUACUGAUCCAUGUGAUCUCUACUGUUUCAGCUGGUUUGAUUGGCAAAUGCCAAUGUAUUGCUGCUGCUGCUUCUUAAGUAUUUCAUUUCUUAAAAUGAUUAUCAACAACAUUCUGUUUUGCUUACAUAUUCUUGAAUUAAUUUAAAAUGAAAUGUGAAUCACUGAGAGUUAAUUUGCUCAGAUAUAAUUAAUGUGUUCUUUUAUAAAAUAAAUAAAAGCAUAUACAGUUUAUUUAUCAAAUUCUUGUAAACUAAAACACGUCUCUCUGAUAAGCCCAUUGUAGAUUUCAGAAGCUAGAAGGAGCAUUUCCUUAUUUGAGGAUAAAAUUUUAUCGAUCCGUUUUCUAUAUUUGUCAGUGGCCAAGAAAUCGCAAGUCUUUUGACUCAAAUUUGGAAAAGUCUUGGCACGUGAUGCAACUUGGAGAUGAUUUUGACCCAUUUGGUAUUGUGUGUGUGUGUGUGUGUGUGUGUGUAUUGACGUGCAAAAUGACAAAGACAAUUGCAAAUGAUGCGGAUAUUAUUAAUGCUAACGUUAUUUAAUUUGUUGCCUUUCUUGGAGACUUGGGGAUAUGUUUUGUAGGUUAAAAGAGUCCACUUGCAGUUGACGAUGAGAAUCCAGAUGAAAGUAAAACAAGACUCACAUAGAAAAGCAAGAAACCAAGCAAAUGCAAAUCCAUGAUACUUGAAAGAUAAGAGGCGACAUAAGAGAAGACAGAGAAGAAGGAUCAAGACGGUGACACCAAAAACUCUAUGAGUAGUAUUCUUAUGAAAAACUUUUUCGAAUAGAUCAGAUGAUUCCUUUGUCUCUGGAUUGGCCAUGAGCUCGUUGUAAGAUUAAGAAAUUUAUUUUGGUGUUCUAGUAGUGUCUUUCUCUGUAUGAGGUGUCUAGGCGUCAACAGGUGUGGUUAUUUAUUAAGUGGGUUUGUUUUGCAUCUGAAGUUAACGUUGUAGAUUCACCACUUGAUGAAGGUACAGAGAUUAAUUCCAUCAAUAAUGCUACUUUCAGUUCUCCGAGAAUAUCGUUUGAGAAGCUAUAGACUCAAGUUUGAAGCCAGCAGCACCAUGCUAAAGUACGAUCAUAGCCUUUGAUUAACACUAAAGAUUGCCCUAUAUAUCUACAUAUGACCAUACGAUGUAACGUUGGGGCAAGCGAUCAGCUAAUGACAUAAGGCAUGACAUCUCAGUUUCUGGGCGACCUGAUAGAAACAACACAACUUCUUUUGUUUGAUCCAUCCCUUCCAGCAUAUUUAAUUUUUUCUGCUUUUGUCAUUUUGCGGGCAAUGAUAGACUAAAUUUAAAUAAUUUAGGGUGUGUUUGUCACACUGUAUUAUAUUAUAUUAUAUUAUAUUAUUUUAAUACUGAUGUGUUGUAUUAUAUUGUAUUGCAUUGACACUGUAUUAUAAUAAUAUUAUAUAAUGUUUAGUGUUGCA